rnacentral:tRNA from 1 species
GAUUCAGUGUAUCAUAGGGGUUUGAACGUUGGACUACAACUCUGGAGACCAGGGUUCAAAUCCCUGCUCAGCCA